rnacentral:rRNA from 1 species
GACGAACGCUGGCGGCGUGCCUAAUACAUGCAAGUCGAACGCAUUUUCUUUCACCGUAGCUUGCUACACCGAAAGAAAAUGAGUGGCGAACGGGUGAGUAACACGUGGGUAACCUGCCCAUCAGCGGGGGUAACACUUGGAAACAGGUGCUAAUACCGCAUAAUUCCAUUUACCGCAUGGUAGAUGGAUGAAAGGCGCUUUUGCGUCACUGAUGGAUGGACCCGCGGUGCAUUAGCUAGUUGGUGGGGUAACGGCCUACCAAGGCUGCGAUGCAUAGCCGACCUGAGAGGGUGAUCGGCCACACUGGGACUGAGACACGGCCCAGACUCCUACGGGAGGCAGCAGUAGGGAAUCUUCGGCAAUGGACGCAAGUCUGACCGAGCAACGCCGCGUGAGUGAAGAAGGUUUUCGGAUCGUAAAACUCUGUUGUUAGAGAAGAACAAGGAUGAGAGUGGAAAGUUCAUCCCUUGACGGUAUCUAACCAGAAAGCCACGGCUAACUACGUG